rnacentral:pre_miRNA from 1 species
UCUUACAGAUGAGCCAAGAAAGUGGUCUCUUGAGAUGGAAUCUACUCCUGGUGAAGAUGCUGUGAA